UUAAAACUAACCAAGUUUGUUUUAGAAAACUCAAGUUAAAAAUCAAAACAGCCUUUAAAGUAUUUCUACAGAUUUCAAUAUGUGAAACAUAACUUUAACUGCGAUCCUUACAUUCUAACCUUUAAAAGAUUUAGCCAGACAUGGUAACACAAACGAACACAACGGUAUUAAUCAUGAUGAAAAGUUUGUUUUAGAAUGUGAGGUGUGGAAAGAGAGUAAAGUGCGUAAACUAAAUAAAGUAAAGCGAGUGCGGAAAAUAAAUAAAAUAAAAGCGAGUGCGGAAAAUAAAUAAAAUAAAAGCGUAGAUAGAAAGUAAAUAAAAUAAAAGCGAUGCGGAAAAUAAAUAAAUAAAUCAAUAAAUAAGAACCUGCUCCAAAUG
rnacentral:lncRNA from 1 species